CCGCGAGAACUCCUUCAACAAUCUGCGGCCCGGCCAAAAAACCUGACAGCAGCGGUGAUCAGGUUCCCCUUGGCCAAUUCUUGGCCCUGUAACGCCGAAGAAGAUCCAUUGUUUUCUGUUUCCUGCCGCUCUCCACAGCCUUGUUCCGUGGUCUAGCCCUAGAGGCCUCCAUCCUCCCUUUAGAGGUGUCGGGGCUUAGCCCCAGCCUCCAUCUUCGUCUCUCAGGAUGGCGAGCAGCAGCGGCUCCAAGGCCGAAUUCAUUGUCGGAGGGAAAUAUAAACUGGUACGGAAGAUCGGGUCUGGCUCCUUCGGGGACAUUUAUUUGGCGAUCAAUAUCACCAACGGCGAGGAGGUGGCAGUGACGCUAGAAUCCCAGAAGGCCAGGCAUCCCCAGUUGCUGUACAAGAGCAAACUAUAAGAUUCUUCAAGGUGGGGUUGGCAUCCCCCACAUACGGUGGUAUGGUCAGGAAAAAGACUAUAACGUGCUAGUUAUGGAUCUUCUUGGACCCAGCCUUGAAGACCUCUUCAAUUUCUGUUCAAGAAGGUUCACAAUGAAAACUGUACUUAUGUUAGCCGACCAGAUGAUCAGUAGAAUCGAAUAUGUGCAUACAAAGAAUUUUAUACACAGAGACAUUAAACCAGAAAACUUCCUAAUGGGUAUUGGGCGUCACUGUAAUAAGUUAUUCCUUAUUGAUUUUGGUUUGGUCAAAAAGUACAGAGACAACAGGACCAGGCAACACAUACCGUACAGAGAAGAUAAGAACCUCACCGGCACCGCUCGUUACGCCAGCAUCAAUGCACAUCUUGGUAUUGAGCAGAGUCGCCGAGAUGAUGUGGAAUCAUUAGGAUAUGUUUUGAUGUAUUUUAAUAGAACCAGCCUGCCAUGGCAAGGAUUAAAGGCUGCAACAAAGAAACAAAAACAUGAAAAAAUUAGUGAAAAGAAGAUGGCCACACCUGUUGAAGUUUUAUGUAAGGGAUUUCCUGCAGAAUUUGCCAUGUACUUAAACUAUUGUCGUGGGCUGCGCUCUGAGGAAGCCCCGGAUUACAUGUACCUGAGGCAGCUAUUCCGCAUUCUUUUCAGGACCCUGAAUCACCAAUAUGACUACACAUUUGAUUGGACAAUGUUAAAGCAGAAAGCAGCACAGAAGGCAGCCUCUUCAAGUGGGCAGGGUCAGCAGGCCCAAACCCCUACAGGCAAGCAAACUGACAAAACCAAGAGUAACAUGAAAGGUUUCUAAGCAUGAAUCAAGGAACAGAAGAAGCAGAGCAGAUGAUCGGAGCAGCAUUUGUUUCUCCCCAAAUCUAGACAUUUUAGUUCAUGUGUACACUAGCCAGUGGUUGUGGACAACCAUUUACUUGGUGUAAAGAACUUAAUUUCAGUAUAAACUGGCUCUGGGCAGCAUUGGUGAUGGAUGCUGUGUCCUGAGUUGUAGCCGCUGUAAUUGUGAAUAUUAACUGAGAUAGUGAAACAUGGUGUCAGUUUUCUAUUGCAUUUUUUCAAGUGGAAAAGUUCACUAAAUGGUUGACACACACAAAUUGGUGGAGAAAUUGUGCAUAUGCCAAUUUUUUGUUAAAAUCUUUUAUUUUGAACUAUACUGCUUUGAGAUCUCAUUUCGGAAGAACGGCAUGAACAGUCUUCAGCCACAGUUGUGAUGGUUGUAAAUGCUCACAAUUGUGCAUUCUUAGGGUUUAUCCAUCCCUGGGGUUUGCAAGUUGUUCACUUAAAACAUUCUUAAAAUGGUUGGCUUCUUGUCUGCAAGCCAGCUGAUAUGGUAGCAACCAAAGAUUCCAGUGUUUGAGCAUAUGGACUCUGCCUGCUUACCUGUGCUAGAGAAACAGUGUCUAAGUGAAGACUUAAGAAAACUUAGUGAGUACUAGAUUAUCCUUAGGACUCUGCAUUAACUCUAUAAUGUUCUUGGUAUUUAAAAAAGCGCAUAUUUGUCACAGAAAUUUAGUUAACAUCUUACAACUGAACAUGUAUGUAUGUUGCUUAGAUAAAUGUAAUCACUGUAAACAUCUA